rnacentral:rRNA from 1 species
GGUUAAGUUAAUAAGGGCGCACGGUGGAUGCCUUGGCACUAGAAGCCGAUGAAGGACGUGACUAACGACGAAAUGCCUUGGGGAGCUGUAAGUAAGCAAUGAUCCAGGGAUGUCCGAAUGGGGGAACCCGGCAGGUAAUGCCUGUCACUCACUACUGUUAAGGUAGUGAAGAGGAAGACGCAGUGAACUGAAACAUCUAAGUAGCUGCAGGAAGAGAAAGCAAAAGCGAUUGCCUUAGUAGCGGCGAGCGAAACGGCAGGAGGGCAAACCGAGGAGUUUACUCCUCGGGGUUGUAGGACUGCAAUGUGGACUUAAAGAGUAUAGAAGAACUACCUGGGAAGGUAGGCCAAAGAGAGUAAUAGCCUCGUAUUUGAAAUAUUCUUUAUACCUAGCAGUAUCCUGAGUACGGCGAGACACGCGAAAUCUCGUCGGAAUCCGGGAGGACCAUCUCCCAACCCUAAAUAC